AGGGCACCACCAGGAGUGGAGCCUGCGGCUUAAUUUGACUCAACACGGGAAAGCUUACCCGGCCCGGACACUGGAGGGAUUGACAGACUGAGAGCUCUUUCUUGAUUCAGUGGGUGGUGGUGCAUGGCCGUUCUUAGUUGGUGGAGCGAUUUGUCUGGUUAAUUCCGAUAACGAACGAGACUCUAGCCUACUAAAUAGACCAGAGGCUUCUUAAAACACGUCUCUGGCUGCUUCUUAGAGGGACAGGCGGCGAUUCAGCCGCACGAAACAGAGCAAUAACAGGUCUGUGAUGCCCUUAGAUGUCCGGGGCCGCACGCGCGCUACACUGAAGUGAUCAGCGUGCUUUUUGUACCCUGCUCUGCCAAGAGUGGGUAACCCAAUGAACCUUCUUCGUGAUUGGGAUAGGGGAUUGUAAUUAUUCCCCUUGAACGAGGAAUUCCCAGUAAGCGCGGGUCAUAAGCUCGCGUUGAUUACGUCCCUGCCCUUUGUACACACCGCCCGUCGCUACUACCGAUUGAA
rnacentral:rRNA from 1 species